rnacentral:rRNA from 1 species
AUGACCGUCCAGAUAGCCACCACCACCGGCCAGGAACGGGAAACGGCGCGCGCGCGGCGCACGGGUACAGCCAGGAUGGUGCGGCCCUGCCCGUCGUUCUCCACGCUCCCUGACGACCUCCUCGUCAUCGUCUACCGGUUGCUGACCGAGUCAGCGAGCAGCCGUGUGCGCUUCGCCGCCGUCUGCAGGUCAUGGCGCGCCGCCGUCGCCAUGGAGCCGCGGGUGCCCGCUCUGCCGUGGCUGCUGCUCUCGCCACGCGGCGCCCGCGACAGGACAUGGCGUGCGCUCUGCCCCGCGGAUGGCGCCACGAUCAGCCUCCAGCCCCGGCGCCGGGCCGUCGGGAGGGGCCUCAUCGGCGGUUACGGUGGAGGCUGGGUGGUCCUCUCCCAACCGCUGCUCAGGAUAGUCAACUUCUUCACCGGAGCGGAGGUGCCGCUCUCCGAGAAACAGAGGAGGAUGGCCUGCCCGCACGCCAACCUUGGGCCUGGUGAUGUUGUACCCGUCGUCUCGAAAAUCGUACUCUCCCAGCCGCCCAACUCGGACGGUUGCAUCAUUGCCGCAUUGACCGAGAACUGCGGAAUCAUGCUCUCUAGAGUUGGUUGUCCAGGUGAAGGGUGGACGAUACAUGGAUGUCAUGGGAAAGAUGUCAUGGGUUCAGAUUCACGGACAUUGCCUUUUACAACGGUCACCUCUACGGUGUUGCACGUGAUUGUAAUAAACUCCUCAAGUGCGUGA